GUGCCAGCAGCCGCGGUAAUACGUAGGUCCCGAGCGUUGUCCGGAUUUAUUGGGCGUAAAGCGAGCGCAGGCGGUUUGAUAAGUCUGAAGUUAAAGGCUGUGGCUCAACCAUAGUUCGCUUUGGAAACUGUCAAACUUGAGUGCAGAAGGGGAGAGUGGAAUUCCAUGUGUAGCGGUGAAAUGCGUAGAUAUAUGGAGGAACACCGGUGGCGAAAGCGGCUCUCUGGUCUGUAACUGACGCUGAGGCUCGAAAGCGUGGGGAGCGAACAGGAUUAGAUACCCCAGUAGUCC
rnacentral:rRNA from 1 species